UGCCGUAAACGAUGUCGACUUGGAGGUUGUUUCCAAGGGAAGUGACUUCCGAAGCUAACGCAUUAAGUCGACCGCCUGGGGAGUACGGCCGCAAGGCUAAAACUCAAAUGAAUCGACGGGGGCCCGCACAAGCGGUGGAGCAUGUGGUUUAAUUCGAUGCAACGCGAAAAACCUUACCUGGUCUUGACAUCCAUAGAAUUUCUUAGAAAUAAGAAAGUGCCUUCGGGAACUAUGAGACAGGUGCUGCAUGGCUGUCGUCAGCUCGUGUCGUGAAAUGUUGGGUUAAGUCCCGCAACGAGCGCAACCCUUAUCCCCUGUUGCCAUCGGUUCGGCCGGGAACUCAGAGGAGACUGCCGGUUAUAAACCGGAGGAAGGUGGGGACGACGUCAAGUCAUCAUGGCCCUUACGACCAGGGCUACACACGUGCUACAAUGGUUUAUACAAAGAGAAGCAAAUCUGCAAAGACAAGCAAACCUCAUAAAGUAAAUCGUAGUCCGGACUGGAGUCUGCAACUCGACUCCACGAAGUCGGAAUCGCUAGUAAUCGUGGAUCAGAAUGCCACGGUGAAUACGUUCCCGGGCCUUGUACACACCGCCCGUCACACCAUGGGAGUGGGUUGCAAAAGAAGCAGAUAUCCCACCAUUUUUUGGAAGGCGUCUACCACUUUGUGAUUCAUGACUGGGGUGAAGUCGUAACAAGGUAACCGUAGGGGAACCUGC
rnacentral:rRNA from 1 species